AAAACAAGCUUUUAAGAGCAGAUGGCGGAUGCCUUGCCAAAGAGAGGCGAUGAAGGACGUACUAGACUGCGAUAAGCUAUGCGGAGCUGUCAAGGAGCUUUGAUGCGUAGAUGUCCGAAUGGGGCAACCCAACUAAUAGAGAUAUUAGUUACUCUAAUUAUAGAGGGCGAACCUAGUGAAGUGAAACAUCUCAGUAACUAGAGGAAAAGAAAUCAACGAGAUUCCCUAAGUAGUGGCGAGCGAACGGGGAAAAGGGCAAACCGAGUGCUUGCAUUCGGGGUUGAGGACUGCAAUAUCCAAGAGAACGCUUUAGCAGAGUUACCUGGAAAGGUAAGCCAUAGAAAGUGAUAGCCUUGUAUGCGACAAGGCGUUCUUAGGUAGCAGGAUCCAGAGUAGGCCAGGACACGAGAAAUCCAGGUUGAAGCCGGGGAGACCACUCUCCAACCCUAAAUACUACUCUUUGAGCGAUAGCGAACAAGUACCGUGAGGGAAAGGUGAAAAGAACCGCAGUGAGCGGAGUGAAAUAGAACCUGAAACCAUCUGCUUACAAUCAUUCAGAGCCCUAUGAUUUAUCAGGGUGAUGGACUGCCUUUUGCAUAAUGAUCCUGCGAGUUGUGGUAUCUGGCAAGGUUAAGCGAAUGCGAAGCCGUAGCGAAAGCGAGUCUUAAUAGGGCGAACAAGUCAGAUGCUGCAGACCCGAAGCUAAGUGAUCUAUCCAUGGCCAAGUUGAAACGCGUGUAAUAGCGCGUGGAGGACUGAACUCGUACCCAUUGAAACGGGUUGGGAUGAGCUGUGGAUAGGGGUGAAAGGCCAAACAAACUUAGUGAUAGCUGGUUCUCUUCGAAAUAUAUUUAGGUAUAGCCUCAAGUGAUAAUAAAAGGGGGUAGAGCGCUGAUUGGGCUAGGGCUGCUCGCCGCGGUACCAAACCCUAUCAAACUUCGAAUACCUUUUAUCGUAUCUUGGGAGUCAGGCGGUGGGUGAUAAAAUCAAUCGUCAAAAGGGGAACAACCCAGACUACCAAAUAAGGUCCCUAAGUUCUAUUCUGAGUGGAAAAAGAUGUGUGGCUACUCAAACAACCAGGAGGUUGGCUUAGAAGCAGCCAUCCUUUAAAGAAAGCGUAACAGCUCACUGGUCUAGUGGUCAUGCGCUGAAAAUAUAACGGGGCUAAGAUAGACACCGAAUUUGUAGAUUGUGUUUGACACAGUGGUAGAAGAGCGUUCAUACCAGCGUUGAAGGUAUACCGGUAAGGAGUGCUGGAGCGGUAUGAAGUGAGCAUGCAGGAAUGAGUAACGAUAAGAUAUAUGAGAAUUGUAUCCGCCGUAAAUCUAAGGUUUCCUACGCGAUGGUCGUCAUCGUAGGGUUAGUCGGGUCCUAAGCCGAGUCCGAAAGGGGUAGGUGAUGGCAAAUUGGUUAAUAUUCCAAUACCGACUAUGGAGCGUGAUGGGGGGACGCAUAGGGUUAAGCGAGCUAGCUGAUGGAAGCGCUAGUCUAAGGGCGUAGAUUGGAGGGAAGGCAAAUCCACCUCUGUAUUUGAAACCCAAACAGGCUCUUUGAGUCCUUUUAGGACAAAGGGAGAAUCGCUGAUACCGUCGUGCCAAGAAAAGCCUCUAAGCAUAUCCAUAGUCGUCCGUACCGCAAACCGACACAGGUAGAUGAGAUGAGUAUUCUAAGGCGCGUGAAAGAACUCUGGUUAAGGAACUCUGCAAACUAGCACCGUAAGUUCGCGAUAAGGUGUGCCACAGCGAUGUGGUCUCAGCAAAGAGUCCCUCCCGACUGUUUACCAAAAACACAGCACUUUGCCAACUCGUAAGAGGAAGUAUAAGGUGUGACGCCUGCCCGGUGCUCGAAGGUUAAGAGGAUGCGUCAGUCGCAAGAUGAAGCGUUGAAUUGAAGCCCGAGUAAACGGCGGCCGUAACUAUAACGGUCCUAAGGUAGCGAAAUUCCUUGUCGGUUAAAUACCGACCUGCAUGAAUGGCGUAACGAGAUGGGAGCUGUCUCAACCAGAGAUUCAGUGAAAUUGUAGUGGAGGUGAAAAUUCCUCCUACCCGCGGCAAGACGGAAAGACCCCGUGGACCUUUACUACAACUUAGCACUGCUAAUGGGAAUAUCAUGCGCAGGAUAGGUGGGAGGCUUUGAAGUAAGGGCUUUGGCUCUUAUGGAGCCAUCCUUGAGAUACCACCCUUGAUGUUUCUGUUAGCUAACUGGCCUGUGUUAUCCACAGGCAGGACAAUGCUUGGUGGGUAGUUUGACUGGGGCGGUCGCCUCCUAAAAAGUAACGGAGGCUUGCAAAGGUUGGCUCAUUGCGGUUGGAAAUCGCAAGUUGAGUGUAAUGGCACAAGCCAGCCUGACUGUAAGACAUACAAGUCAAGCAGAGACGAAAGUCGGUCAUAGUGAUCCGGUGGUUCUGUGUGGAAGGGCCAUCGCUCAAAGGAUAAAAGGUACCCCGGGGAUAACAGGCUGAUCUCCCCCAAGAGCUCACAUCGACGGGGAGGUUUGGCACCUCGAUGUCGGCUCAUCGCAUCCUGGGGCUGGAGCAGGUCCCAAGGGUAUGGCUGUUCGCCAUUUAAAGCGGUACGCGAGCUGGGUUCAGAACGUCGUGAGACAGUUCGGUCCCUAUCUGCCGUGGGCGUAGGAAAGUUGAGGAGAGCUGUCCCUAGUACGAGAGGACCGGGAUGGACGUGUCACUGGUGCACCAGUUGUUCUGCCAAGAGCAUCGCUGGGUAGCUACACACGGAUGUGAUAACUGCUGAAAGCAUCUAAGCAGGAAUGCAGUAAUGCGUUUAGCUGACUACUACUAAUAGAGCGUUUGGCUUGUUUUU
rnacentral:rRNA from 1 species